UACGAAGGGGGCUAGCGUUGUUCGGAAUCACUGGGCGUAAAGCGCACGUAGGCGGAUGUGCCAGUCAGGGGUGAAAUCCCGGAGCUCAACUCCGGAACUGCCUCUGAUACAGCACGUCUUGAGUUCGAGAGAGGUGGGUGGAAUUCCUAGUGUAGAGGUGAAAUUCGUAGAUAUUAGGGAAGAACACCGGUGGCGAGGGCGGCCCACUGGCUCGAUACUGACGCUGAGGCGGCGAAAGCGUGGGGAGCAAACAGGAUUAGCAUA
rnacentral:rRNA from 1 species